ensembl:antisense 3110056K07Rik RIKEN cDNA 3110056K07 gene
CGAACACGCACGUUAUUGGAGGAUAGAGGAUUGAGUAAGAGAGCCCAAAAAUUUGAUUGGAGGAGCCGACUCCGGAUGUGCUUGACUGAACACUGAUUGGAGAACAAGGGGUCAGGAAGAGCAGUUCCGCACGAGGAUUGGGCGGUGGCGUGUCCCAUGGAAACGGAAUCCAGAACUGCAGCCAGGGUUUUUCACGGGGGCGGAGCCGGCUCUUCCCCAGGCGCCUGCGCCUAACUGGUUCCCCGGCGCCAUUUUGUCCCGGCAGCAGCAGCCCGCAUCUCUAUCCCAUUUUCUGUGUCUGGAGGGAAGGACGCGGACUCUCUCGGAGUUGUGCUGAAGACAACAGACACCUCCAUGACAACCCAAAGUAUCACAGAGGAAAUGAAAAGCUGUGGACUCAUUCAAAGUUAAUUAAGAUUAGGUAUGACCAUGGAAGACUUGUGUAUGACCAUGGAAGACUUCUAGAGAAUCUUGACUGGUGAUGUGGAAAAAGAGACCCAGAAGAACAAAAAAACAGGUGACUGUAAUGCUGGUCCCCCUGUGCAGGAACAGCUCAGGAGACUGUCGGAGACAUGAGUGUCCUUGUAGAAGCCAGCAGUCUUGUUGGCUGUCAGGUCCUCAUGACUUAGUAUUAUUACAUGUCAUCCUUUCAUGUGGCAUGAAUGAGGAUUUAUAAAGCCCUAUUACGGUUUGGUUAUGCAGUCCAAACAGACUUACAAAGAUUUACUGAUUAAUUUUACUGCUCAAGCAUAGAGCAGAGACUCCUCAUUAGCUAAUUUGUGCAUACUACACUUUCCGUACACGUGUUACUGCAAAAAUGUCCCUACAGUGUUACCAGAGCUGGGGCAGGAAGUAAGGGUGGAAUUCCUGAGCUCACUGACACUGAUGCUGAAGGAAGCAGGAGGUGGGCGGAGCUGGCAGUGGUGAGAGCCACGUGGAUACAUGGGAUGGUGGAGGAGUCAGGAAAAGUUAGUAGCUAGCUGAGACUGUCCUAGCAAAAGACCAACAGCUUUAUUUUCUUCAAAAUUUAAUAAUAAACUGUAGAAAUAAACUAUUUUGAAAG